rnacentral:rRNA from 1 species
CCUACGGGUGGCUGCAGUGGGGAAUAUUGCACAAUGGGCGCAAGCCUGAUGCAGCCAUGCCGCGUGUGUGAAGAAGGCCUUCGGGUUGUAAAGCACUUUCAGCGGGGAGGAAGGCGGUGAGGUUAAUAACCUCAUCGAUUGACGUUACCCGCAGAAGAAGCACCGGCUAACUCCGUGCCAGCAGCCGCGGUAAUACGGAGGGUGCAAGCGUUAAUCGGAAUUACUGGGCGUAAAGCGCACGCAGGCGGUCUGUCAAGUCGGAUGUGAAAUCCCCGGGCUCAACCUGGGAACUGCAUUCGAAACUGGCAGGCUAGAGUCUUGUAGAGGGGGGUAGAAUUCCAGGUGUAGCGGUGAAAUGCGUAGAGAUGUGGAGGAACACCAGUGGCGAAGGCGACUCUCUGGUCUGUAACUGACGCUGAGGAGCGAAAGCGUGGGGAGCGAACAGGAUUAGAUACCCCGGUAGUC